UUAACUUACUCUUCUUUUCAGCGUGUAUAUUGUGUAAGUAUAUAACAUGAAACUGAAAACAUGGAGUAUUCGCGUACAAUAUUUUCUCGUUACAUUUCUCUCUUUAUCGCUACACAUGCAAUGGAUCUGCACGACUUGCUUUGCUGUAUCACUUGGUGCACAGGCGAGCAAUAACGAGUUGGCUCAGAGCUUUGGUGCCGCCCUCAACGUCAAGGCAACUUUAUACAGCGGGUACGCCGCCAUGCAGAGCACAUACGAAAACAGGCUGAACGCUGGAGUGUUUACUGUACAUCGACUUAAUGGAACUAAGUUGAUUAAAACCAUGGCUGCAGACCUUGAGAAAAUGCUAAACAGAAAACGACUUGCUGUAGAAAGACUCGUACAAGUCGCUGAACGACAUGCCGCGAAAUACGACUGGGAUAAAGAACCAUCAGAUGAAUACAACAACAUUCAAUACAUCAAUGCACCUGAACCGUCCAACAUAGAAGAAGAUGAUUAUGCCAGUUUAAGGAAACAAAUGCAAUUCAAGAGCGACGCUAGGUUCGAACGUGAUGUCAACAAGAAUACUUCAAUAGUUCAAGUUCCAUUUAACGUCUAUAGUAAAGGCACCAAGCUGUUGAAAUCAGUCGGUUGGUCAAAGGCGUUAAACCAGCAAUUCAAACGAAACUUGGAACUUGAACCUUCGUUAAAAUGGCAAUACUUCGGUUCAACUGAAGGAUAUAUUCGUGUUUACCCUGGGUUCCAAUGGCGGAUGAGAGCUGGGCCUCAUGACCAACUUAACAUAUAUGACUGUAGAACGAGGUUAUGGUACACGCAGUCGUCUACCUACCCCAAAGAUAUGAUCAUCCUCUUAGAUAGGAGUGGAAGCAUGAAAGGUUUAAAGAAAUCGAUCGCCAUCGAUGCUGUGUCUGCUUUACUGGAUACACUUGGUGACAACGACUUUUUCAACGUUUUAACGUUUAGCAAGAAGGUAAUCCCUGUGGAUCCAUGUUACAACUCUACAUUAAUGCGAGCCGACCGUACAAAUAAAGAGAACGUUCUCACGCGUCUACGGGACAUGGAGACCUCUGAUAUUGCCAACUUUAAACUCGCACUGAAGAGCACACUUGAUAUCAUUGCCGAAUUUCACAACAGAGGAGACGGCAGCGGUUGUGACUGCGAGAUAAUGUUGAUCACCGAUGGAGCGCCAGACAGCUACCAAUAUAUAUUUGACCAGGCCCACAACUUAUCUAUUUCCCAGAGCCAUUUCCGAGUCUUCGCUUAUCUGGUCGGACAGGACAAGAAUUAUCUCGAACCAGUUAAAGAUAUGGCGUGUAAUAAUAACGGCUUCUUCACUCAAGUAAAAAGCCCGACUGGUGUCACAGAACAAGUCUUGCAUCACGUUAACGUCAUGAAUCGACCUCUCGCGUAUCAGGGCGACCACCACGUGACGUGGACAAAGGCGUAUUAUGACACAACAAAUGGGGACGAGGGUUUCGGUUUGAUAAGCACUGUUGCUUCCACAGUCUACAAGAUGGUGCCCGGGGAACCGACUGCGUUCCUGGGUAUAAUGGCAACUGACGUGCCCAUAAGUGACAUGAUGAAUAGCAUGCCCAUAAACAGGAUUGGCGUGAACGCUUACGUAUACAUGGUCACCAACAAUGCCUACGUUAUGUUUCACCCAUGGUUGGAAACAAAGUACGUUGGUUGGGAUGGGAAGGUUAAAACUAAGCUUGAUUACAACAGCAUAGACAUUGACAAGUUGGAAAAGGAUGACGGACACGCUGAAAUUAGGUCAGCUUUGGUAAAUAGAAGAACUGGACAAGUUUCAACCAAGCAACAUUACACACCUCUGGAUAACGACAUGAAGUCACUCCUAAUAUCAAGUGGUGUGUAUUACUUUGUGCCUGUGGCUGACACUCCAUUCAGUUUAGCCAUGUUUCUACCAUCUAAGUAUGGCCACACCAAAGUCAACUACUCAGCUAACCUACGAUCUAUAAGAUAUGAUGCUAUCAUUGAUGAGGUGCAUUGUAAUGAGGUGCAGAAACAAAUGCGAAGAAAUGACUGGGUUGAGAUUGAUCGUAUCGCUGCUAUAUGUUCAUUAAGGUAUAGCGACGUUAGUGUUGCUGAAACUUGGAGAUAUUGCUGGUUUAAGAACAAACAAAGCAUUGAAGAAAUGGGAUGGUUGUCGCAAAUAGACAUGCUGAAGCGAUAUCUCCUCUCUCCGAAUAGCCAGACCAUAAAAUGUAACCAGGAGUUGGUGAAUGGAGUAUUGUUUGAUGUUUAUCUUACAGCGACACUUCAGUCUGUUUGGUCAGAACAAAAAAUGCAUCAAAAUACUUCAGGCAAAGGCAUUGAGAUGACCUUCUUUAUCUCCCGAAGUGGUGUAGUGAGAAAGUAUUGGCACACAGAUGCACAAGAUGCUUAUAAGGAAGAUAGGAAUGUUGUAUUUAGAUUUGAUAAAUUGGAAUACCCGUUAAUAUACAGACGAGCUGUAACUCAACCUAAAGAUAGUUGGUUGUAUGUUGUACCCCCUACCACACGUGGUAACAAUAAACAAGUUGUGUUUGCUGCAAAAGCUGUGAGACAAAAAGAAGCAAUUAUGGGAGUGUCGGGUUUGAUGCUCGGAUACGAAAGUUUUGCUUCUUUGUUCUGGGAUGAAGUGGCGCAAGUGUAUGGGGUGGACUGUAUGGAUAGGACGAACAAAAGGUUUUGUUACCUCGUGGAUGACAAUGCAAAGAUUGUUCUUUCCAAGGAGAAUCAAGAAGUUGGUCGUUUCUUUGGCGAAAUAAACGGGCACGUAAUGAACCAAUUAAUCGAGGCGAAAGUUUUCGACCGUAUCGUGUUAACCGAUGAGACAGCAAUGUGUCAAGUUAAACAGACAAAGAAAAAUGUGGGCUCGGCCGCUUCUAAUGUUCGGUAUAACUUGCCAUUCUUCUCAGUAUGGUCUUACUUUAUGUGGUGGACGAAGGAACUGGUUGUUCUCCUAGCAAAUGUUGCUUUAUACAACUGGUGGACAUUAGCUGUGGUAUCCCAGCCUGUGCAAGCAAAUAUCAGGAACCAACCAAACUACAGACCUUGCAAUCAAAAGUACGAAGUGUUUGUGGCCAAUAGAUCAAAGACACCGUACACAAAUAGAACUUGGUGUAAAGAUAAUUAUGCAAUGCUGUGUGAAGGUGAGUUCGGAGUGUUCAACGUAAGCAACAGCAAUCUGUUCCUGAUCGUUACGGAGCAACUAUGGGCAAGUGACUUUGAGAGAGAAAGAUGUAAUUGCUCUGGGAAGAGCGAGCCAUUCUCUCCCAUCAGAGGACUUGAGGUGGAAGCAGCGAUGGAAGACACUUGUUGGAGAGCAAAGAUAAUAAAGGAGAGGAAGAGACCUUUGUCAUGUUUACAAGCUAAAGAAGGGGCACCUGUAAAGGAGCAACCAUGUACAACUGAGGUUAAGCCUCCAACUAAUUCUGGAGCAAAACUCCUUCCGUUUUGGGGUGGCAUUGCAGCAAAGUCAAGUAAAGGCUUAAGGACGUUUUACUCAGCAUGGAUUUCAUGCUUGACUAUACAUAUGGUCGUGAUUGCAGUAUUUUCUGUGAUAUGUGAUGGAUCAUUACUUAGGUCUCCUGUUUUAUGAUGAUGUCAUUAUGGUAGCAUUAUGGAGUAAUGAAUAUGCAACUGUGAUGUCAUACAGUGUGUUGAGGUAUCAACCCAUAAGUUUGAACCCAAGUACACGGUGUUGGGUAUAAAUUUCACCCCUUGUUCAAAGUACGGGAUGUUGGGUGCAAUUUCCAUCUAAUGUUUAACAACAGGNUGUUGGGUGUAAAUUUUACCCGAUGUUUAAAGUACAGGGUGUUGGGUGUAAGUUCCACCCUAUCUUUUUACAACAUUAUUAACCACCAGACAGAUCACGCACUUCAUGUUCCUUUUACCAUGUUUUUUUUUUCAUGUUAAAACUUUAUUGAAUAAUAAACUUAUAAAUUCCGUUGUACACAAUUACACUUUGGGAUUCUGUGUUGACUUGGCGGUAUCAGACAUGCUCAGGGUUUACAAGAAACAUAUUUCUAUGCUUACUGCAGAAGUUUUAUCUGUUGAUGAAAGUUGCUGUAGAUUCUUGAUGCUGCUACCACUGUCAGCAUGUGUGCGGGAUUUUGGGUUUUUUAUCUUGAGGUGUUAUAGCACAGAUCACAGACUUGAGAUAUAUGCCAGAGUUGGCCCAUUACCCCAAUAUUGUAUAGCCUAGGCUAUGUCCAUUCUGCUCAGUUAAUCCAACAACAGGAGUUAAGACAGUUAAAACAGAUUUGUUCAGCCAUUCGCAGGGUGUAGCAACUAAAAGAAACUGGAAAAUCAGUUAGGCAGUGGUCAUAGGCACCAAAUCUGGGGUGGCAGGGUAGAUUGCCCCACCAUAGAGUAUUUUGCACUAUAUGAAACA